AUUGAACGCUGGCGGCAGGCUUAACACAUGCAAGUCGAACGCUUCACCCUCGGGUGGAGAGUGGCAGACGGGUGAGUAACACGUGGGAACGUACCCCUUUGUUCGGAAUAACCCUGGGAAACUAGGGCUAAUACCGGAUACGGCCGUGAGGCGAAAGGUUUACCGCAGAGGGAUCGGCCCGCGUCCGAUUAGCUAGUUGGUGAGGUAACGGCUCACCAAGGCAUCGAUCGGUAGCUGGUCUGAGAGGAUGACCAGCCACAUUGGGACUGAGACACGGCCCAAACACCUACGGGUGGCAG
rnacentral:rRNA from 1 species